rnacentral:rRNA from 1 species
CACGCAGGCGGCUCGCUAAAUUAGAAGUGAAAGCCCUGGGCUCAACCCGGGAAUUGCUUUUAAGACUGGCGAGCUAGAAUCCGGAAGAGGGUAGCGGAAUUCCCAGUGUAGAGGUGAAAUUCGUAGAUAUUGGGAAGAACACCGGUGGCGAAGGCGGCUACCUGGUCCGGUAUCGACGCUCAGGUGCGAAAGCGUGGGGAGCAAACAGGAUUAGAUACCCUGGUAGUCCACGCUGUAAACGAUGGGUGCUAGUGUUGGGGAGCUUGCUCCUCAGUGACGCAGCUAACGCAUUAAGCACCCCGCCUGGGGAGUACGGCCGCAAGGUUAAA